rnacentral:rRNA from 1 species
CCUACGGGAGGCAGCAGUAGGGAAUCUUCCACAAUGGACGAAAGUCUGAUGGAGCAACGCCGCGUGAGUGAAGAAGGGUUUCGGCUCGUAAAGCUCUGUUGUUAGAGAAGAACAAGUGCUAGAGUAACUGUUAGCGCCUUGACGGUAUCUAACCAGAAAGCCACGGCUAACUACGUGCCAGCAGCCGCGGUAAUACGUAGGGGGCAAGCGUUGUCCGGAUUUAUUGGGCGUAAAGCGAGCGCAGGCGGUUCCUUAAGUCUGAUGUGAAAGCCCCCGGCUCAACCGGGGAGGGUCAUUGGAAGCUGGGGAACUUGAGUGCAGAAGAGGAGAGUGGAAUUCCAUGUGUAGCGGUGAAAUGCGUAGAUAUAUGGAGGAACACCAGUGGCGAAGGCGACUCUCUGGUCUGUAACUGACGCUGAGGCUCGAAAGCGUGGGUAGCAAACAGGAUUAGAUACCCUAGUAGUC